rnacentral:lncRNA from 1 species
AGGAGGAAGAAGCUGCAAAAGCUGCUGAAGAGGAGAUACGCAGGAAAGAGGAGGAGGGGAAACGUGCUGCUGAAGCUGCUUCGCUACAAAAGAAGGCAAAGGAGAAGGAGAAGAAACUUUUAAGGAAAGAGCGUGCUCGUCUUCGAACACUUUCAGCUCCAGUUUUGUCCGAUCGUUUUCUUGGCCUUACUGAAGAUGAUGUGGAAAAUCUCUGUAUGUCGCUUGACACCGAGCAAAUGAGAAGUUUAU